rnacentral:lncRNA from 1 species
UGUUCAGAUUUACUGCGAUAAUUUCUGUCAUGUGUCCUUAAUCUACUACUAGCAUCUUAUUCCUUUAAUUUGAUCUCCAAGGUUUGAAAGGGAUCUGAUAACAGGCAGGUAUGUGUCUCCGUGACAGUGUGACUACAUUACUCUUUGAUUUCAUUCAUAUAAUACCUAAACAGAACUUCAGAAGUGGUUAAAUUAAAGUCCAAUUUAGUGGGUCCUUAUUAGAAAGAUGAACAGGUUUUGUGUAUUGGUGCAGUUUGCACAAGAUAGAUGAGGAGACUUUAGCUCAUUCACUUUCCACUUUGACUAGAUGCAUAUGUGCUUUAGCCAUUUAUACGAGCAAUUAGGGUGCAUCUAAUUCAUAAUGUUACAAUCUGUUACAUUCCUUCUGGCCUGGAGGCAGUUGUUUGCUGGAGCAAUUUAAUACUGGACAUCAUUCCUAGAUGUGUCUCUAUUUGGAGAGAAAUAGAAGAUUUUUCGGCAUUAAUAGGUCCCAUGCACACUUUAAUCUUCUUGCUUGGUGCAUGGAAUAUGUAACUCUUUGACAUACCAACCUGCAAUUUUCUUAGAGAUUGCAGAUUCUGAACAACAACAACAACAACAACUACCCAGUAUACUCCCACCAGGUGGGGUCAGAUUGCAGAUUCUGAAGCUAAUAGAAAUUCUUUCCC